AUUCCAGCUCCAAUAGCGUAUAUUUAAGUUGUUGCAGUUAAAAAGCUCGUAGUUGGAUUUCGGUUGGAAGCGGCCGGUCCGCCGUUUGGUGUGCACUGGCUGGUUUCAACUUCCUGCCGAGGACGCGCUCCUGGGUUUAACGAUCUGGGACGCGGAGUCGGCGUGGUUACUUUGAAAAAAUUAGAGUGUUCAAAGCGGGCUUACGCUUGAAUAUAUUAGCAUGGAAUAACACUAUAGGACUCCUGUCCUAUUUCGUUGGUCUCGGGACGGGAGUAAUGAUUAAGAGGAACAGUUGGGGGCAUUCGUAUUUCAUUGUCAGAGGUGAAAUUCUCGGAUUUGCAAAAGACUAACUUAUGCGAAAGCAUUUGCCAAGGAUGUUUUCAUCG
rnacentral:rRNA from 1 species